GCGCUCAGAUGCCCCAGCUCAGCCGAGAGGCCGCUCGCGCCGGGUCCUUCCUCUUCCCCAAGUGCAGGCAGAGCCCCCGGAGCCAUGGCCAGUCCUUCCGGCAGCUCCGAAGCCACUGGCAAGACCCGAGGCAGGGAUGGCCGGCCCAGGAGGGAGGAGGACGACGUCCCUCCCGAGGAGAAGAGGCUGCGGCUGUUGCUGGAGGGAGGGGGGAAGGGCACAGCCCGAGGACUGCGAGGACGGAGAGGACGCGCCGCGGCCGGGCAGGGAGGAGACCGGCACCCAGACAGGUGGCGACGGCAGAGGACCUCUUCCUCAGUCUCCUCUUCUGGAAAGUAGGAUUGGAAACCACAUCUGCUUCUCUCCCAGGACUGCUAGGAAGACAAGAUUAGAUGGCAGGUGAGAGCUCUUUGAAAAUGAAAACAUUCUGCUGUUUGAAUGCAAAGUGUUCUUCUUUGCCUGUGAUGU
rnacentral:lncRNA from 10 species